rnacentral:rRNA from 1 species
GACGAACGCUGGCGGCGUGCUUAACACAUGCAAGUCGAACGAUGAACCCGGAGCUUGCUCCGGUGGAUUAGUGGCGAACGGGUGAGUAACACGUGAGUAACCUGCCCUUGACUCUGGGAUAACUGCGGGAAACUGUAGCUAAUACCGGAUACGACCCUCGGCGGUCUCGCCAGGGGGUGGAAAGAAUUUUGGUCAAGGACGGACUCGCUGCCUAUCAGCUAGUUGGUGAGGUAACGGCGCACCAAGGCGACGACGGGUAGCCGGCCUGAGAGGGUGACCGGCCACACUGAGACUGAGACACGGCCCAGACUCCUACGGGAGGCAGCAGUGGGGAAUAUUGCACAAUGGGCGCAAGCCUGAUGCAGCAACGCCGCGUGAGGGAUGACGGCCUUCGGGUUGUAAACCUCUUUUAGCAGGGAAGAAGCGAAAGUGACGGUACCUGCAGAAAAAGCACCGGCUAACUACGUGCCAGCCGCCGCUGUAA